rnacentral:rRNA from 1 species
UACAGAGGUCUCAAGCGUUGUUCGGAUUCAUUGGGCGUAAAGGGUGCGUAGGCGGUGUGGAAAGUCGAAUGUGAAAUCUUGGGGCUCAACCCCGAAACUGCACUCGAUACUACCAUACUAGAGGAUUGUAGAGGAGAUCGGAAUUCACGGUGUAGCAGUGAAAUGCGUAGAUAUCGUGAGGAAGACCAGUGGCGAAAGCGGAUCUCUGGGCAACUCCUGACGCUGAGGCACGAAGGCUAGGGGAGCAAACGGG